UAGACUCUUCUCUUGAAGGAUCUCCCGUUUUCCAUUUCUACCCUCUCUCCUGGGCCAGCUGUUUAUUUCUUCUGGUGUGAUUUCCUAAUUGUAGCCACUACUAAUCUGCUAAUUACUCUGCUGAUUCUUAUCCAGCCCUCCCACACAAAUGAUCCCCAGUUUUGUUCCUGUCCUGUUCUUGCCUAGGCUGAGAAAGGCCCUCAAAGUUUUCAUCAUGGGGACCCGGCUUUCCAGUUCUGACUGGGCUCCAUCCCACCCACACCAGGUUUCUCUGGGCCAGGUGCUCAGGCCAUGACCUGCCUGACUCAGCAUUUUUGGAAACAUGUCUGGGCUACCCCCAAAGAGCACCCUCGGCUCUGCUGAAACAAUUCUGCAUUCUCCAAGAUAAAGUCAAGUCCUACCUGUUCAGUGGAAGGUUUCCCUGAAGCUGUUCUGGUUGAUGCGGUCCAAGCUGGACUUGUAUUUGUCUGAAUUCUUACUACUUUAGUUGUUAAGUGCUGAAUCACCUGGAAUUUAAUUGCUCUCUGAUUGUUCAACUUCCCAGGUGAGACAAAGAACUGUACUGUGACUGUGUCAUAAUGUUCCCUGCCCUUCUAACAGCCCAGGCUUAAGGACCACCUACUUCUGGAUUAACUGCUCAAUCCAUAUGCACGUGCAGGUGAAAGAUAGACUAUUUCCUUUGCUCUCCCAGCAAUCUUCCUUUUGUGAAUUGGUCCCUUUCCAUCCCUUGAGCAUUUUUAGCUCUGGAUUCUGGAAUCAGAUAGAACUGGAUUGAAGCUCUGGUUUAUUGUAUGACCUCGGGCAAGUUGUUCAGCCUCUCUAAAAUCCCUCUACAAAAUGCUGAUGUAUUAUGUCCUUCAGCCCAGACCUUCAUGUCACUAACUACCCACAAAGGCCUAGAGACAAAGCUGCCUGUGGCAACAAGUCCCUCUGGUUGUCUACCUUACACCUCUCUUCCCUUGCCCCAUCUGCAUGCUCUUUCAACAGCUCAUGGCCACAUGAGCAAGUGACCACAGCUUCUGUAGCUAUCAUCCUGAGAUCCUUUGGGACAGUCAGGAAAUACCUAAAUAUUGAGAUAAGUGUUCUCCACAUUCAUUGAGAAAGUUCUACCAAAAUCAAAAAGCUAGAUGAUAGAUAUGAGUAUCUAAUACUGGUGAGCACCUACCAGAGUCAGCAGCUCUAUAUCCUGC
rnacentral:lncRNA from 1 species